AGGAUUCCCUCAGUAGCUGCGAGCGAACAGGGAAGAGCCCAGCACCGAAUCCCGCGGCCGACACCGACCGCCGGGAAAUGUGGUGUUAGGGAGGAUCCGUUUAUCCCGAGGUCGUGCGGUGCGUCCAAGUCCUUCUUGAACGGGGCCACAGCCCAUAGAGGGUGCCAGGCCCGUAGUGACCGCUGCCGAUCGCGGGAGGAUCUCUCCUCAGAGUCGGGUUGCUUGAGAGUGCAGCCCUAAGUGGGUGGUAAACUCCAUCUAAGGCUAAAUAUGACCACGAGACCGAUAGCGAACAAGUACCGUGAGGGAAAGUUGAAAAGCACUUUGAAGAGAGAGUUCAAGAGUACGUGAAACCGUUCAGGGGUAAACCUGAGAAACCCGAAAGGUCGAAAGGGGAAAUUCAUUCGCGUUUCGGCUGCUAGCGAUAGACGGGUGUGUGACGGACGGCUUCGCGUCGUCUGCACCAUCUGUUUGUCGAACUGGCGUCGAACGUGUGCACUUUUCCCCUAGUAGGACGUCGCGAUCCGUUGGGUGUCGGUCUAAGGCUUGGGGUGGAGCCCGUGUGGUCGCUUCGGCGUGCCGCGCGGACCCUCGAUGUCCUGGCCGACUUGCUCGACGGUAUAAUGAAGGCGCGAGGCCGCUACUUUAGUUAGCGUUCGGCUCGUGGCAAGCGCGUCCGGCGUUUGACGGUGAUCGGACCUGGUGCCGAUUCUGUCCCCGGACGACUGUUGGCUGCGAUGUUCUCGAACAGACCUCGAUUUGAAACGCCGAUCAGCGACGCUAUA
rnacentral:rRNA from 1 species